rnacentral:misc_RNA from 1 species
GUGGGAGGGGGCUUGCUCCCGAUAGCGGUGGAUUAGUCAGUCCUUGUAUUGACUGACCCACCGCUAUCGGGAGCAAGCCCCCUCCCAC